UCUAAAUCUGUACUUAGAUUCAGUGUACCAAAUUCCAUUCUCACAUAUUAGAAUUCCUACUUGAGUCCAGGAUCGGUCUCGGAGUCUUCCCUGAAUAUCCAAACCCAUAAAAUAAAAUAGAUGGGUGGUGCAUUUUGGGGGACGCGGGUGAUGCAGGUAGUGAAGAAGCAUGAUUCUCCAAGACUCUUAUGGAAGAGAAUCAAGCUCACCACCACCUGUAAAGCCAAUGCCAAGAAGCGUCUUCACCGUGUAUGGCAGAAUGAAGCUGUCCUCAAGGCUUGUUCUGAACCAUCUUCUUCAGCAAAUUCUUCUGCCAGUGCCAACAAUGUUACAAAGAAUGCUUAAGUUGAAGGAUGUCCACCUGAAGGUUCUUCCAUAGGUAUUUUAGGUUCCCAAUUCUAGAUUGGUUUUUGCUAGACAGUUGAAAAACUGUAGAGGAUGCUUCAAUUAGCCAAUAGUUCUAUAACAUUUGUGUUUGCUACUACCACAAUUUCUAUUAAAUAUAAUUGAUGAUGCAUUCCCUACCCCUCUUCUUAAAUCCCAUCUCCCCAUUAUCUCCAUUUCGCUACUGUGCUGAAAUCUUCUUAGCUACCUGAAGCUCCCUCAAUUUACUUAGUACAGAAGAAUGGAAAACAUCUUGAAGCCUAGUGCAUUCUAAGUCUUUACACACGUUACAUUGCAGGGUUACAUCAGUACUUUAUUUUCAUGAUUUUCAGAAACACUGAAAUUAUUAGGCAAUGUGGUUGCACAUAUGAUGCAGUUCACAAUUAAAAAGUAUGAUCCAGGCAUAUGUAUGUCCAUAGUUCAUUCGUGAUAGCAUCACUUUGGUCCUUAGGUCAUCAAGUUAGCAAGUAACUUGGGUUUGUGGUUUCCUUUUUGUUUUUUAACAUUGUUUAUAUCUUGCUUGCUCUACGUAUCAUAAUAGCUGUUAUUGAAAAUUGUUGGAUUUAUUGGAA